rnacentral:lncRNA from 1 species
GGUGGGCGGUUUCGUGGGUGGUUUCGGGGUGGGAUGAGGUUUGGUAGGGGGUUUCGGAUGUGGGUGUGGUUUGACAGUGGGCGGUUUGGUAGGGGGUUUAGGGUGUGGGUGUGGUUUGACGGUGGGUGGUUUGGGAGGUUUUACUGCCGGUGGUUUAGGCGGUUUGCUAGGAUGUUUAGGCGGUUUGUGGGGGUGAGGUGAUGGUUUAGGAGGGCUACAGUCGCAAGCGAAGGAGACGGCAAGAAAGCCAAGGAAGAGGAGGAUGAGAAAAGAGAGGUUUUGUGUACGAGACCCCAUUUUUCUAGAUUGAGGGUGUGGUUUACCCAAAGGA